GGUAUCGGAAGAGUACUUAUUAUUCCUGAUUGUGCCGGAGAAAAGGCUUCACAGCCCAAGGAAAGGAACAGGAUUGAAAGCGCUAAAGAUAACCUCAUCUUUGAUAAAUGUUGGUAGUAUUGUAAGUUAUCUAUUUAAGAGAGGUAAAG
rnacentral:rRNA from 11 species